AUUGAACGCUGGCGGCAUGCCUUACACAUGCAAGUCGAACGGCAGCACGGGGCAACCUGGUGGCGAGUGGCGAACGGGUGAGUAAUGCAUCGGAACGUACCUUUCAGUGGGGGAUAACGUAGCGAAAGUUACGCUAAUACCGCAUAUUCUGUGAGCAGGAAAGCAGGGGAUCGCAAGACCUUGCGCUGAUUGAGCGGCCGAUGUCAGAUUAGCUAGUUGGUGAGGUAAAGGCUCACCAAGGCGACGAUCUGUAGCGGGUCUGAGAGGAUGAUCCGCCACCCUGGAACGGGGACACGGUCCAGACUCCUACGGGAGGCAGCAGUGGGAAAUUUUGGACAAUGGGGGCAACCCUGAUCCAGCCAUGCCGCGUGAGUGAAGAAGGCCUUCGGGUUGUAAAGCUCUUUCGGCCGGGAAGAAAUCGCACGGGCUAAUACCCUGUGUGGAUGACGGUACCGGAAUAAGAAGCACCGGCUAACUACGUGCCAGCAGCCGCCGUAAUAC
rnacentral:rRNA from 1 species